UGCCUGGAGUGAAGAUUCUGCCCAUUGGUCAAGAGACCUCCCUCUCAGAUGCUGGCUCUGCCCCUGCCUUUGGGGGUCGACCCUUGUACUCGCAGGACCUUAGGUGACUCUGUAAGUAUAGUAAAACGCAGUUAAUAUGAUGUUAUCAUUCAAUUAUUUUUAAAAAGUGGAGCAACCAGUUGACAAGGACUUUGUCAAAGGAAAAAUUUCUGCAUGUGCACACACAGAUCUUGGAAGUUUAUUCAUCUCAGCAGAGGCAGACAGGAGCAUCAACAGCCUUGGGGACAGCAGCAGUGGUGGCAGGGCAAAAUAAAACUUAUAUGAAACUGCAAUCACUAAUGUGUGAAAAUGGAAGAUUCAGGAAGUGUUUCAUAUCUGAAAUAUGAACCCAACGUGGAAUCAACAUGCAUCCAAACAGGACUAAAUGUGCAAACCCAAGGCAAGAUUAAAACUAUAAAUAUUUAGCAAUUUGGCAAAUUGGUCAUUUUGGAGACUAGCUUUUAGCAAAUUCAUCAUAUGUUUAAUUGAUUUCCAGUAAAUUGGCUGCUUCCAUCAAGGUUGCCUUGGGUGACUAUGUCCAAGCAACCAAAUUGCUCUC
rnacentral:antisense_RNA from 1 species